rnacentral:rRNA from 1 species
GAUGAACGCUGGCGGCGUGCCUAAUACAUGCAAGUCGAGCGAACAGACGAGGAGCUUGCUCCUCUGACGUUAGCGGCGGACGGGUGAGUAACACGUGGAUAACCUACCUAUAAGACUGGGAUCACUUCGGGAAACCGGAGCUAAUACCGGAUAAUCUAUUGAACCGCAUGGUUCAAUAGUGAAAGACGGUUUUGCUGUCACUUAUAGCUGGAUCCGCGCCGCAUUAGCUAGUUGGUAAGGUAACGGCUUACCAAGGCAACGAUGCGUAGCCGACCUGAGAGGGUGAUCGGCCACACUGGAACUGAGACACGGUCCAGACUCCUACGGGAGGCAGCAGUAGGGAAUCUGCCGCAAUGGGCGAAAGCCUGACGGAGCAACGCCGCGUGAGUGAUGAAGGUCUUCGGAUCGUAAAACUCUGUUAUUAGGGAAGAACAAAUGUGUAAGUAACUAUGCACGUCUUGACGGUACCUAAUCAGAAAGCCACGGCUAACUACGUG